GACGUAGGGUGCGAGCGUUAAUCGGAAUUACUGGGCGUAAAGCGUGCGCAGGCGGUUUUGUAAGUCUGACGUGAAAUCCCCGGGCUCAACCUGGGAAUUGCGUUGGAGACUGCAAGGCUAGAAUCUGGCAGAGGGGGGUAGAAUUCCACGUGUAGCAGUGAAAUGCGUAGAGAUGUGGAGGAACACCGAUGGCGAAGGCAGCCCCCUGGGUCAAGAUUGACGCUCAUGCACGAAAGCGUGGGGAGCAAACAGG
rnacentral:rRNA from 1 species